GACGAACGCUGGUGGCGUGCUUAACACAUGCAAGUCGAACGAGUGGCGGACGGGUGAGUCAUGCUUGGGAAUCUCGCUUAUGGAGGGGGAUAACUACGGGAAACUGUAGCUAAUACCGCGUACCAUAGGCUGAGCCCAAGGGGGAUGAGGUAGUUGGUGGGGUAAAGGCUCACCAAGCCGACGAUCUCUAGCUGGUCUGAGAGGAUGACCGGCCACACUGGGACUGAGACACGGCCCAGACUCCUACGGGAGGCAGCAGUGGGGAAUAUUGCGCAAUGGGGGCAACCUGACGCAGCCAUGCCGCGUGAAUGAAGAAGGCCUUCGGGUUGUAAAGUUCUUUCGGUAGCGAGGCGUUAACUACAGAGGAAGCACCGGCUAACUCCGUGCCAGCAGCCGCGGUAAUAC
rnacentral:rRNA from 1 species